UUUCCGUAGGUGAACCUGCGGAAGGAUCAUUAACGAGAUGUUGGCUUCGGUCGACGACUUCACACUUGUAAACGAAACAAUGCUUCGGCGAGACCCGCAAGGCGUCGACUUUAUGUGGACGAGUGCUCGCCGAAAUAAACUCUUUUAUUUGUUGUCAAUACCAAAAAAAUAAAUUAAAACUUUCAACAACGGAUCUCUUGGUUCUG
rnacentral:misc_RNA from 1 species